rnacentral:rRNA from 1 species
UGAAUAAUGAAAUAGGACGUGCGGUUCUAUUUUGUUGGUUUCUGGGACCGCCGUAAUGAUUAAUAGGGAUAGUCGGGGGCGUCAGUAUUCAGCUGUCAGAGGUGAAAUUCUUGGAUUUGCUGAAGACUAACUACUGCGAAAGCAUUCGCCAAGGAUGUUUUCAUUAAUCAGGGAACGAAAGUUAGGGGAUCGAAGACGAUCAAAUACCGUCGUAGUCUUAACCAUAAACUAUGCCGACUAGGGAUCGGACGGGAUUCUAUUAUGACCCGUUCGGCACCUUACGAGAAAUCAAAGUUUUUGGGUUCUGGGGGGAGUAUGGUCGCAAGGAUGAAACUUAAAGAAAUUGACGGAAGGGCACCACAGGGCGUGGAGCCUGCGGCUUAGUUUGACUCAACUCGGGGAAACUCACCAGGUCCAGACAAGAUAAUGAUUGACAGAUUGAAAGCUCUUUCUUGAUCUUUUGGAUGGUGGUGCAUGGCCGUUCUUAUGUGGUGGAGUGAUGUGUCUGCUUAGUUGCAAUAAAAAACCAUCCCACCCCCCUUCGGUAUCCCGUACCGCAUUUGCUACGCCGCUGGCUUCUUAGGCUUCCUAUCGGCUCUUUCGUUCCCUGAUGCGUGAAAACAUCCUUGCUGAGAUGCUUUCUCAUGUUCUGGUCUUCACGCAUGCUACAAUGACACCUCUGACAACUACAUACUGACACCCCAGACUAUCGCUAUUAAUCGUUACGGCGUGUCCCAGAUGCCGACAAAAUAGUAGCCGCACGUCCUAUUUCAUUAUUCCAUCGCAUGCCCGCCGACCGCCAUGGGCAGACCUGCAAAAUGCGACGAUGGAUCCAUUCGCCUAUAGAGGUCUGC